UUGAACGCUGGCGGCAUGCUUUACACAUGCAAGUCGAGCGGCAGCGGGGGCUUCGGCCUGCCGGCGAGUGGCGAACGGGUGAGUAAUGCAUCGGAACGUACCCAGUCGUGGGGGAUAACUACGCGAAAGCGUAGCUAAUACCGCAUACGUCCUGAGGGAGAAAGCGGGGGAUCUUCGGACCUCGCGCGAUUGGAGCGGCCGAUGUCGGAUUAGCUAGUAGGUGAGGUAAAGGCUCACCUAGGCGACGAUCCGUAGCGGGUCUGAGAGGAUGAUCCGCCACACUGGGACUGAGACACGGCCCAGACUCCUACGGGAGGCAGCAGUGGGGAAUUUUGGACAAUGGGGGCAACCCUGAUCCAGCCAUGCCGCGUGAGUGAAGAAGGCCUUCGGGUUGUAAAGCUCUUUCAGACGGAAAGAAAACGCACAGGUUAAUACCUUGUGUGGAUGACGGUACCGUAAGAAGAAGCACCGGCUAACUACGU
rnacentral:rRNA from 1 species